AAUUCAUUGUUCUCAACAAUAUGUGUCUCCUUCUAGCUAGUUUGGAUACUUAUAAAUACUAAAACACCGUAGGAAAAAGUGAGUUGGCAAAAAGGAGAUGACGUAGAGGCGACCACAGGCAGAAUCCAGUUAGUGACGACCGUGUGUGGCUUAAUAAAUUGUA